GACGGACGCUGGCGGCGUGCUUAACACAUGCAAGUCGAACGGAAAGGCCCCAGCUUGCUGGGGUACUCGAGUGGCGAACGGGUGAGUAACACGUGGGUGAUCUACCCUGCACUCUGGGAUAAGCCUGGGAAACUGGGUCUAAUACCGGAUAGGACCGUGCUUUAGUGUGUGCGGUGGAAAGUUUUUCGGUGCAGGAUGAGCCCGCGGCCUAUCAGCUUGUUGGUGGGGUAAUGGCCUACCAAGGCGGCGACGGGUAGCCGGCCUGAGAGGGUGUACGGCCACAUUGGGACUGAGACACGGCCCAGACUCCUACGGGAGGCAGCAGUGGGGAAUAUUGCACAAUGGGCGCAAGCCUGAUGCAGCGACGCCGCGUGGGGGAUGACGGCCUUCGGGUUGUAAACCCCUUUCGGCAGGGACGAAGCUUUUGUGACGGUACCUGCAUAAGAAGCACCGGCUAACUACGUG
rnacentral:rRNA from 1 species